UGGGGAAUAUUGCGCAAUGGGCGAAAGCCUGACGCAGCGACGCCGCGUGAGGGAUGAAGGCUUUCGGAUCGUAAACCUCUGUCAGAAGGGAAGAAACCGCACUGUGCUAAUCAGCAGUGCUUUGACGGUACCUUCAAAGGAAGCACCGGCUAACUCCGUGCCAGCAGCCGCGGUAAUACGGAGGGUGCAAGCGCUAAUCGGAAUUACUGGGCGUAAAGCGCACGUAGGCUGCUUUGUAAGUUAGGGGUGAAAUCCCACGGCUCAACCGUGGAACUGCCUUUGAUACUGCUUAGCUUGAAUCCGGGAGAGGGUGGCGGAAUUCCAGGUGUAGGAGUGAGAUCCGUAGAUAUCUGGAGGAACAUCAGUGGCGUAGGCGGCCACCUGGACCGGUAUUGACGCUGAGGUGCGAAAGCAUGGGGAGCAAACAGG
rnacentral:rRNA from 1 species